rnacentral:rRNA from 1 species
AUUGAACGCUGGCGGCAGGCCUAACCCAUGCAAGUCGAACGAGUGGCGGACGGGUGUGUAAUUUCUGGGCCACUGCCUGAUGGAGGGGGAUAACUAUUGUACACGGUAGCUAAUACCGCAUACUAUCCGAUGUGCCCAGAUGGGAUUAGCUUGUUGGUGGGGUAUUGGCCCACAAAGGCCACGAUCCCUAGCUGGUCUGAGUGGAUGACCAGCCACACUGGAACUGAGACACGGUCCAGACUCCGACGGGAGGCAGCAGUGGGGAAGAUUGCACAAUGGGCGAAAGCCUGAUGCAGCCAUGCCGCGUGUAUGAAGAAGGCCUUCGGGUUUUAAAGUACUUUCAGCGGGGAGGCGUUAACCGCAGAAGAAGCACCGGCUAACUCCGUGCCAGCAGCCGCGGUAAUUC